rnacentral:rRNA from 1 species
GACGAACGCUGGCGGCGUGCUUAACACAUGCAAGUCGAACGGAAAGGCCCUGCUUUUGUGGGGUGCUCGAGUGGCGAACGGGUGAGUAACACGUGAGUAACCUGCCCUUGACUUUGGGAUAACUUCAGGAAACUGGGGCUAAUACCGGAUAGGAGCUCCUGCUGCAUGGUGGGGGUUGGAAAGUUUCGGCGGUUGGUGAUGGACUCGCGGCUUAUCAGCUUGUUGGUGGGGUAGUGGCGUACCAAGGCUUUGACGGGUAGCCGGCCUGAGAGGGUGACCGGCCACAUUGGGACUGAGAUACGGCCCAGACUCCUACGGGAGGCAGCAGUGGGGAAUAUUGCACAAUGGGCGGAAGCCUGAUGCAGCAACGCCGCGUGCGGGAUGACGGCCUUCGGGUUGUAAACCGCUUUCGCCUGUGACGAAGCGUGAGUGACGGUAAUGGGUAAAGAAGCACCGGCUAACUACGUG